GCUAUUGGAAUAGCUCAGUCAGUAGAGCAUCAGACACUUAAUCUGAGAGUUGUGGGUUCAAGCCCCAUGUUGGGCA